UAUAGACUCUAUACCACGUUAAAUAGACGAGUUCUCGUCCGAUCACCGAAGUUUAGCAACGUCGGGCGCGGUCAGUACUUGUAGGAGUGACCGCCUGGGAAGACUUCGUAACGUUAACU
rnacentral:rRNA from 1 species